GUACUUGCUCCCGCAGCACAUAUACUAAAACCGGAACAAUGCAGAGAAGAUGAGCACGGCCCCUGCACAAGGAUGACAUGCAAAUUCACACAGUGUUCCGUGUUUUC
ensembl:snRNA U6 U6 spliceosomal RNA